CGGGGGGGGCAAGCGUUGUUCGGAAUUACUGGGCGUAAAGGGUGCGUAGGCGGCUCUCUAAGUCGGAUGUGAAAACUCUGGGCUCAACCCAGAGCCUGCAUCCGAAACUGGAGGGCUAGGGUUCUGGAGGGGAAAGCGGAAUUCCUGGUGUAGCGGUGAAAUGCGUAGAUAUCAGGAGGAACACCGGUGGCGAAGGCGGCUUUCUGGACAGAUACCGACGCUGAGGCACGAAAGCUAGGGGAGCAAACAGGAUUAGAUACCCUGGUAGUCCUAGCCCUAAACUAUGGAUACUUGCUGUGGGGGGGAUUGAAGCCCUUGUGGCGAAGCUAACGCAUUAAGUAUCCCGCCUGGGGAGUACGGUCGCAAGGCUG
rnacentral:rRNA from 1 species